UUAAUUACUGGAUAAAGGCAUACAAGUCCAGAAUACACAGGUCCUGUCUCAAAGACGUGAGCUGUGCUUCAUGUCAGGAAUAGCUCUCUUCCCUUAUGGACUCCCAAGUAAAACACCUGCAGGUGUGGUGAGCUGGAACUUGGAAAAGCCAAAACUGCAAAACCGAAAGGCGCACACGUAGGUGCUGAAGAGCCUUCCAUGUGGGAAGUUUAGCAAGGAUAGAUGGAAUAGAAGAACAAGUGUUUUUCAAUUCAGCAUCUGCUCUAGAAACAUGAAAAUGUAAAGCUCGCACUGGAAAAAAAUUAGGAUUUUAGUGCUUGGAGAAAAUAUGUAGAUAAUUUUUAAAUUGCAUUUGUGUUUUUAACAUCCCUGUUCUUUCAGAAAGAUGUAAUGAAGGGUGAACCAGUACAUACCGUGUUACAUUAAUGCUAGAAAUUAAAAAAAAAAAAAACAAACACACAAACCCCCUAACAAUGCAAAAGGGUAAUGUAAUAACAAAAAAAACCCCAAAAGGGUAAUGUAAAAACAAAAAACCCUGGUUAACUACCAGGGUUUAUGAAAUAGUAAAAAGUGAUAUGUCUUUUAAUAGUUUAGGAAUUAAUUAUAAUUCUGAGCUAUUGCAAGGCAAGAGAAAUUAAAACAACUCAGUUUUCCAACUUUCUGUCAUUUGAACUUUUAUAAUGCAUCAGGGAGGUAAAAAAACUAUUGUGGUCUAAUAUU
rnacentral:lncRNA from 1 species